UGAGUAACCUGCCCUUAACUCUGGGAUAAGCCUGGGAAACUGGGUCUAAUACCGGAUAUGACUCCUCAUCGCAUGGUGGGGGGUGGAAAGCUUUAUUGUGGUUUUGGAUGGACUCGCGGCCUAUCAGCUUGUUGGUGAGGUAAUGGCUCACCAAGGCGACGACGGGUAGCCGGCCUGAGAGGGUGACCG
rnacentral:rRNA from 1 species